UACGUAGGGCGCAAGCGUUGUCCGGAAUUAUUGGGCGUAAAGAGCUCGUAGGCGGUCUGUCGCGUCCGUUGUGAAAACUCGAGGCUCAACCUCGGGCUUGCAGUGGAUACGGGCAGACUAGAGUGCGGGUAGGGGAGACUUGGAAUUCCUGGUGUAGGCGGUGGAAUGCGCAGAUAUCAGGAGGAACACCGAUGGCGAAGGCAGGUCUC
rnacentral:rRNA from 1 species